ACCUGGGUGGCUCAGUCAGUUAAGCGUCUGACUUCAGCUCAGGUCAUGAUCUCAUGGUUCGUGGGUUCAAGCCCCACUUCAGUCU
rnacentral:tRNA from 1 species